rnacentral:rRNA from 1 species
CCGGUGGCGUAACCCUUUUAGGGAGCGAGCCGUCUAAGGUGGGACAAAUGAUUAGGGUGAAGUCGUAACAAGGUAGCCGUAGGAGAACCUGCGGCUGGAUCACCUCCUUUCUAAGGAA